UUUCCAAUAUUUAGCAUCAAAGAAUAGGUUGCUGUAGACUUUCUCUUUCUCCUGCUAACACUUAAAAGUUAACCAACAAAACAAAAAAUAUCAUGAGACCUUUUCAGGGAAAAGUUAUUCAAUAUUUUCUUUUGGUGGCAAAAAAUUCUUGUACAAAGUUGCAGUUGUAGUGUGGGAAGUUGCAGUUGUAGUUGCAGUUCGGUGGAUCAGACCAUCAACCAGUUUUGGUCCUCAAAUUAUCUUGUGUAUAUAUGUGUGGUGUAGGUUGUUGCAAUAUGCAGAAUCAAGUUAUCUCCAAAAAGUAGGUUAUCUCAAGGUCUCAUCUACCUGUGAUCGGAAGUUUUUCCCCUUUUCUUUUGAUAGGUCCUAUUUCAUUUAAUUUAAUUCUAUAGCUAUAUUACUUUAAGCACACAAGAAUAUAGUUUCAUUCCCUGCCUGUGUCAAAGCCAUUUGAAGCAUUGAGUACACAGGAAUAGAGUUUCAUUCUGCCUAUGUCAAAGCCAAUUGAAGCAUUGAGUUUUGUAAUAAACUAUGACUAAGUUGCUCAAAAUUGAUUGGACCAUGGCAUACGAUGUUGGCUUAGCCAAGUCUAGCCAACAGGUGAGCAAAUUGCUACUUUAGGCAGCAACAGUGUUGAUGUCUAUGAGUUUCAUAAAGGACUUUUUAUAACGUGCAAUUUUUUUUUUAUUGUGUCUAUAGACUCCAUCAACUAGUCCAAAAACUCUGGUUACUCCAGCACCUAACACUUUUGAAUUAAUUAUUUUAGCAGGGUGUUGUGAAGAACAUCAUUCCAGCUAUUGCUUCAACAAAUGCUAUUAUAUUAGCUGCAUGUGCAUUAGAAACAUUAAAGAUUGCAACAGAGUGCAGCAAAACUUUUUGUCGAAUUAUUUAACAUAUGGCCGUUUUGUUAUCAAUGUUUGCCUUCUGGCCGUAAAUAUUAUUGAUUGGUUAAUACCUCUGUAGGUAUAAUGGAUCACAAGGCCUUCAUACCAAAGUGGAAAAAUUUGAAAGGGACAAGGAUUGUCUUGUGUGUGGUCCUGGUAUACGUAUUGAACUGGACACUUCAAUCACAUUGCAAAAGGUGGUGCAGGUUCACUACCCUAAUAUAUGGAAUGUUUUUCUUCCUACCUCCCCUUCUUUUUACUUCUCAGAUUUUCCAUUUUUUAGGUGGAAUAUAUGAUUGCAUAUGGAUGUUUUGAAACUUAGGUUAUUCGUAACAUUUCAGUAUAUAACAUUUCAGUGUCUGAAUUAUAUAUGUACGAAGAAGAUUCAUUAAAAGCUUGUGAAUAUGUUUUUUUUU